CAGGGAAAUACCUUUCAUAUUUGUUGCUCCAAUCAGGUCGAGAAGAGCAACAAGACAGUCUUAAAGACGAACACACACAUGAG
rnacentral:ribozyme from 1 species